UGUACCAGGCAAUAAGCAUGUUUAUUUCUGGUGUCAGGUUGGACAUUUUAACAUGGGCUUCAAUGGAGAGUGACUCACGUUUGGAGCCAGUCU